AUUAGACUACUAACAAUGUAAACACCUUUUAAAUGCUUGAUCUAAUUUACCCAAAUGGUUCAUCAGUUUAGGACAGAAAAAAAUCAUUGAAUUUGACAUUGUUGGGGUCAGUAACCUGACCUCUACAUGUUUGGGAAACCAUGCAAAAGAUCGCAAGCUCUCUGCAUGACCCAACAGCAUCGAUGAGUUAUUUAAUUGCUCAAUUUUUAAAUCAGUCAAGAUUUUAUGAGCUGGGUCUUCUUCACACAACCGAGAACAAGGUAAAUUGAGUCGACUCGUAACAUGGUAAGGCAUUUCGUCCUUCCCCUUCUUCUCUGUGUGUGAGGAAAUCUGGCCACGGAUCCUGACUGAGUGGUAUACCAUGGCUGUGCAGUUUCCAAAAUCAGAUAAGGAUCCAUCUGAUUUUGUGACUCAGCCUGGCAUGAUAUGCAUUUAUCUUCCCCCGAAACAAAGGAUUGGAAUGGACAGGUUUGUAGUUUAAGUCACAUGACUUGUAGAUGGUGAAGCAUUUGUUUAAAUUAGGGUCAAGCAUUUUCAGGUGUCUGCUUUGUCAAUACUCUGGUGCCACGUCUUGCUAAACACACGAGAAGCUCUGAAUUGUGAAACUGCUGCCUCUUGCAGAUGUUACAACAGCAAUGGCUGUUGAAAGGCUGCAGGGAGAGAAAAUGAGAUCUGAGGACAGGAAAGUGGAAUUGAUUUAAUGCUUAGCAAAAUGAGGGUUUCAGCAGAGGACCUUUUUGUGGCGAGGCUACAGAAUCAGAAGGAACGUUUGUCUGGGCAACUGGGAGAUUUACAGUUUUUCAUGCAGCCAACCAAGACAUUGGGGUUAGCAUCAUCCCAAAUGGUGGGCAGAGACUGCUUGUAACUGUCAGUGUAGGACAGGAAAGGCAGGUAUAGGUUAGGGAGGGCAUCCAUCGGUGAGCUCUGACUGGAUGUGAGGACCUGUCACACUUGACCAGAGAUGAAGGCUGCAGCACAUUCCUGGAUCAGAGGACUCCAUGUUGGACACCACGACCUGGAGAAGUCUCGUCCUGGAUGGCUACGGUGAUGACCUAGCCCAAGAUGAACCGACCCUUCUACGACGAGGACUUGGCCCAAGAUGAACCAACCUUUUCCACGGGAUGUCUUCAGAUGUUGGACUUUGCCAAACUGUACACAUGCCUCAAUGGCUACUACGUCACUCUGCCCAACAGGACAUGGUCACCGAGAUUUUACAUGUGAU